CCUACGGGUGGCAGCAGUGGGGAAUAUUGGACAAUGGGCGAAAGCCUGAUCCAGCCAUGCCGCGUGUGUGAAGAAGGCCUUCGGGUUGUAAAGCACUUUCAGUGGGGAAGAAAGCCUUGGGGCUAAUACCCUCGAGGAAGGACAUCACCCACAGAAGAAGCACCGGCUAACUCCGUGCCAGCAGCCGCGGUAAUACGGAGGGUGCGAGCGUUAAUCGGAAUUACUGGGCGUAAAGCGCGCGUAGGCGGUCUGAUAAGCCGGUUGUGAAAGCCCCGGGCUCAACCUGGGAACGGCAUCCAGAACUGUCAGGCUAGAGGGCAGUAGAGGAUGGUAGAAUUCCCGGUGUAGCGGUGAAAUGCGUAGAGAUCGGGAGGAAUACCAGUGGCGAAGGCGGCCUUCUGGACUGACACUGACGCUGAGGUGCGAAAGCGUGGGUAGCAAACAGGAUUAGAUACCCCUGUAGUC
rnacentral:rRNA from 1 species